UACAGAGGUCUCAAGCGUUGUUCGGAUUCAUUGGCGUAAAGGGUGUGUAGGUGGCGCCGUAAGUCGGGUGUGAAAUUUCGGAGCUUAACUCCGAAACUGCAUUCGAUACUGCGGUGCUUGAGGACUGGAGAGGAGACUGGAAUUCAUGGUGUAGCAGUGAAAUGCGUAGAGAUCAUGAGGAAGACCAGUGGCGAAGGCGGGUCUCUGGACAGUUCUGACACUGAGACACGAAGGCCAGGGAGCAAACGGG
rnacentral:rRNA from 1 species